rnacentral:piRNA from 1 species
UGCUGUAUUUUUCACUGUGCAAGUAUGAUC